rnacentral:misc_RNA from 1 species
UUAAAAGUAUUUCUAAGUAACGCCUACUGUUUUCUCAUAUCACAUAUCGACUUUAUAAAUCAGCUUUUACUACGCUUCAAAAUAUAUCCUAAUAAAGUUCUAUAUCCUGUUCAAAUAUCUAUGUCAAAUCACUAACUGCACACUUUGUGUACCUCUAAAAGUACCUUCUUACAAGACAUCUAUUAUUAACUAGAAUGAUUAUUCUUUAAUUCCUUUUCUACUAAAUUUAUCUCAAUUUUUUGGAAACAUUUAUUUUAUGUCAUUUAAAGAAAGACUUUUGAUACUUCAUAAUAUAGGCUAUAAAAUCACAGAGUGUGCAAAGGUGAUGGUGAUCACGCCGUGUUGUUAAUAUUAGGCUUUAUUCCAUCCGUUGCGUCGCUUGAGACAUACUCCGCUGCGUGUGUGCGGUCUGUUUGGACACGUCGUGCCUUAUUUAGGUAGUGUAAGGAAUUUUGUUUUCAUUUUCUAAUAAAACAGUGUAUUUACAAAGAUUUCUCAAAAAAAAAAAAAAAAAAAAUACUAAA